UACAGAGGGUGCGAGCGUUGUCCGGAAUCACUGGGCGUAAAGGGCGCGUAGGCGGCCUGGUAAGUAGGGGUGAAAUACCCACGGCUCAAUCGUGGGGCGUGCCUCCUCGACUGCCGGGCUCGAGCACAGUAGAGGCAGGUGGAAUUCCCGGUGUAGCGGUGGAAUGCGUAGAGAUCGGGAAGAACAUCGGUGGCGAAGGCGGCCUGCUGGGCUGUUGCUGACGCUGAGGCGCGACAGCGUGGGGAGCAAACAGGAUUAGAACCUCGUGUA
rnacentral:rRNA from 1 species